GUCAAUUAGCUUAUAAAAAGUUUAUAUUUUGAAAAUAUAAGAAAGAGAAAUUUAUUGACUUA
rnacentral:tRNA from 1 species